rnacentral:lncRNA from 1 species
UAAUCACUUGUUUACCGGUUGAAGAUAAUAAAACUACCCCUUCUUAUUUUAGAUGAUUCACUUUCAUAAGGUUGGAUACAUUGGCCAUUGUCUUGGGAAGCGUGAUGCUACAUUUCUAAAAACGUGAAAUGUGCUUAAUAUAUGAAAUAUGCAUAGAAUUAUAUAAAAUUUUGAAAAGUUUCAAGUAUUCUUUAAGGUAGAUAAAGUGAACUUCAGGUUUUUCUCACUGAUAGUAAAUCUGGAGCCGA